AUAGAUGGGAGUCACAUUCCCAUCACUGCUCCUGAGAACAAUCACUGUGAUUAUUUUAACCGCAAAGGCUGGCACUCUGUCAUCCUUCAGGGCGUCGUUGACCAUCAAUUCUGUUUCACUAACAUCUACACUGGAUGGCCAGGAAGCGUUCACGAUGCCAGGGUUCUCAAGAAUUCUGAGAUAUACACAAUGGCAGAGAGAGGGGAGCUAUUUCCACCAGUUACAGAAGAAAUCAUGGGUGUUGAAGUUCCAGUCAUGCUGCUCGGUGACCCUGCAUAUCC